rnacentral:lncRNA from 1 species
CUCCUCAAUAUUUUCACAUGUAUAAACUACAUUAAUUUUUGAAAAGAAGAAGGAACACAAUAGUCAACAGUGAAUAUGCCUUUCAAAUGUUAAUUUAUAAUGCAUAUAGACAGUCCAAUAAUAAGUAAAACAUUCCCCAAAAAAUUGGAAUCUAAGACUGAAUCUGUAAAUUAUAAGUUCUUUGAUACUGUUUAAGCAUUUCAGUACAACAUGUUAAAAGAUGAUGUUAAAGAUAUGAAAAAAUCCUGCAAGGCUUAACUGAAAAUCAGGAGUUGAAAAGCCUUAUGAGGGAUGGAAGACUCACUCGUUAUUUGUGUUAAGCUCUCUGCCUCUCAGCACAACAAUUAAUAGAAAUCACACAGUCUCCAAAGGAGCACUAAGAAUGCUAGCUUGUCACAGACUAAUGCUGACAUCCUGGAAUCCUCUCAGCACCACAUUGGGAAAUUCAUGUAAAAAGCUUGCGUUGUCACAUAGGAAAUCUAAACUCACUGAGUACCUAUAGCAUGCCAAGUAUUAGAUGAGGCAAAGCAAGUUACACACAGGAAAAGAAUAUACCUCACCCGUGGUUUAUUUCUAGAGGCAAUCUAUUGCUGGGCAGAAAGCC